rnacentral:rRNA from 1 species
AUUGAACGCUGGCGGCAGGCCUAACACAUGCGAGUCGAGCGGAUGAAGGGAGCUUGCUCCUGGAUUCAGCGGCGGACGGGUGAGUAAUGCCUAGGAAUCUGCCUGGUAGUGGGGGAUAACGUCCGGAAACGGGCGCUAAUACCGCAUACGUCCUGAGGGAGAAAGUGGGGGAUCUUCGGACCUCACGCUAUCAGAUGAGCCUAGGUCGGAUUAGCUAGUUGGUGGGGUAAAGGCCUACCAAGGCGACGAUCCGUAACUGGUCUGAGAGGAUGAUCAGUCACACUGGAACUGAGACACGGUCCAGACUACUACGGGAGGCAGCAGUGGGGAAUAUUGGACAAUGGGCGAAAGCCUGAUCCAGCCAUGCCGCGUGUGUGAAGAAGGUCUUCGGAUUGUAAAGCACUUUAAGUUGGGAGGAAGGGCAGUAAGUUAAUACCUUGCUGUUUUGACGUUACCAACAGAAUAAGCACCGGCUAACUUCGUG